rnacentral:piRNA from 1 species
UGAGAGCUCUAGUUCUUCUCUGAAGCC